rnacentral:tRNA from 1 species
AGCUUGGUGGCGCAGCGGAAGCGCGCCGGGCUCAUAACCCGGAGGUCCCUCGAUCGAAAUGAGGCCAAGCUA